GAUGAACGCUAGCGGCAGGCCUAACACAUGCAAGUCGAGGGAGGAGCCUGCGGGCUUCGACCGGCGUACGGGUGCGUAACGCGUAUACAAUCUGCCUUUCACAUAGGGAUAGCUCGGAGAAAUUUGGAUUAAUACCUAAUGGUAUAUAAAUGUGGCAUCACCUUUAUAUUAAAGCUGAGGCGGUGAAAGAUGGGUAUGCGUUCUAUUAGCUAGUUGGAGAGGUAACGGCUCGGCAAGGCGACGAUAGAUGGGGGUGCUGAGAGGGAUAUCCCCCACACUGGUACUACGGUACGGACCAGAAUCGUACGGGACGCAGCAGUGAGGAAUACAGGACGCUGGUCGCAAGACUGAUCCAGCCAUGCCGGGUGCAGGAAGACUGCCUUAGGGGUUGUAAUCUGCUUUUGCAGGAGAAGAAUAGGUACUACGCGUAGUUUGAUGACGGUACUCUGAGAAUAAGCAUCGGCUAACUUCGUG
rnacentral:rRNA from 1 species